ensembl:lncRNA novel transcript
GAUUGUGAGGCUUCCCCAGCCAUGUGGAAACAUAUUCGCAGAGCACCCACUAGGUGCCAGUAAAUGUAUGAGAAGUCCUGUGGAAUAAGACUGAAGUUGUCCUUGCCUUCAAGCAACUUGCAAUUGCCUAAGAACACAGUUUAAAACCACAAAACUAAGAAAAAGAGAGAGCGAGCGAGAGAAAGAAUAGCUACAUGUGAUUAUCUGAAGCUGAAAGCCAAGCACAAGUUAGAUAGCAGCCAUGAACGCAAUGCCCAGUUUUGAAGAGGAGCUUAAAACAUAACCUUGGAAAUCACAUGCUGUCAUUUCUGCGAUCGGUCAUAACCAGUCCUGAUUCCAUGUUAGAGGAGACUACAUAAGGACACAGGUACCAGAAGAAACUUCUAAGUGCUGCUGUAUUUCACCAAGCUCCAGUUGAUAUCCAAAUUGGACAACUCCUGUGUGCCAGGACAAUGUGCUAGGCUUGCUUUAAAAUGAUACAUACAAAUAAGAUAAAGCAAAGAGACUUGGCUUUAACAUUCAGUAAAACAAUAAUGUGUUUCUUAAUAAUAAACAUUUGCACGUAAAUGCGUCCCAUUUUAAGAAAAAGAUACUUUACCUAUGCUGUUUGUAAGUUAUGUUUCCUUAUAAAUUCUAUUUUCUUAGCAAC